rnacentral:rRNA from 1 species
UGACAGUACUCCUACGGGGAGGCAGCAGUGGGGGAAUAUUGCACAAUGGGCGCAAGCCUGAUGCAGCCAUGCCGCGUGUGUGAAGAAGGCCUUCGGGUUGUAAAGCACUUUCAGUCGUGAGGAAGGUAGUGUAGUUAAUAGCUGCAUUAUUUGACGUUUAGCGACAGAAGAAGCACCGGCUAACUCCGUGCCAGCAGCCGCGGUAAUACGGAGGGUGCGAGCGUUAAUCGGAAUUACUGGGCGUAAAGCGCAUGCAGGUGGUUUGUUAAGUCAGAUGUGAAAGACCCGGGGCUCAACCUCGGAAUAGCAUUUGUAAACUAGGCAGACUAGAGUACUGUAGAGGGGGGUAGGAAUUUCAGGUGUAGCGGUGAAAUGCGUAGAGAUCUGAAGGAAUACCGGUGGCGAAGGCGGCCCCCUGGACAGAUACUGACACUCAGAUGCGAAAGCGUGGGGAGCAAACAGGAUUAGAUACCCUGGUAG